CUCUUGCCAUUGUUGUGGGCAGAUAUAGUGAAUGUGGGCGUCGACCCCCCCAGCUGUGAUGAUCAGUUUCUCGCCUGCGAUCACUUCCGUGUUGGCUCCAGCUACCAAGUCAGGGUCGACUCCGUCCAUAAUGUCAGGAUUCCCCGCUUUUCCAAUUCCAACUAUCUUCCCGUGUCGUAUUCCAAUAUCAGCCUAUGCACGUCGUGAGUAUUGACGCAGGGAAAACUGAGCGAUGCGAAUACCUUGUAAAUUCCGGACCAGUCGAUGAUGAGUGCAUUGGUGAUUAAGAGAUCAAGGACCUCGUAUCGCUCUCCGCAAGCCCGGCCCUCUCCGUG
rnacentral:sRNA from 1 species